CCUACGGGUGGCAGCAGUGAGGAAUAUUGGUCAAUGGGCGCGAGCCUGAACCAGCCAAGUCGCGUGCGGGAUGAAGGUUCUAUGGAUCGUAAACCUCUUUUAUAAGGGAAUAAAGUGUGGGACGUGUCCUAUUUUGUAUGUACCUUAUGAAUAAGGAUCGGCUAACUCCGUGCCAGCAGCCGCGGUAAUACGGAGGAUCCGAGCGUUAUCCGGAUUUAUUGGGUUUAAAGGGUGCGUAGGCGGCCUUUUAAGUCAGGGGUGAAAUUCUGUGGCUCAACCACGGAAUUGCCGUUGAAACUGGGGGGCUAGAGAAUGUUUGAGGCAGGCGGAAUGUGUGGUGUAGCGGUGAAAUGCUUAGAUAUCACACAGAACCCCGAUUGCGAAGGCAGCCUGCCAAGCCAUGACUGACGCUGAUGCACGAAAGCGUGGGGAUCAAACAGGAUUAGAUACCCCUGUAGUC
rnacentral:rRNA from 1 species